GCUAGCUGGACCACGUGACAAAUAUGUUAUUGUUCAUUUUUAUUUUUGGUCACGUGACGAGGAAAGGGGGUGCUUUGUGAUGAGUGAUUAGGAAAACAUAUGAGUGAGAACAUAAUAUGCCAACAAAAGAUCAUAUUUCAAAGCGCUAGAGGGCUUCUGAGAUCAAGAUGGAAAUUGAAACAUAAAGCGAACAAACAUACGAACCUAUUUUGAACGUUGGAGAUGAAAAUAUCGAAGAAAGCGAGCGUCGUGAACAGUUUAUGAUCGAGGGGACGAAGGCUUUGUUUAUACACCGCGUUUGGAUAAUUGUAUUUUUGCCGUUGUUUUAGUAUGUCAGGAUACGGUUAAACGUUUGAAGUAAUAUUGAACAGUAUGGUUGGCUCUAAUUGUGCUUUGUAUGGCUGUCCGACCAGCAGAACGCGUGAAUUUGCAAUUUUUAAAAUCCCUGUUGUUGGCGCAGCCGAUGUAGUCUGCGUAGGAGACUACAGCCGAUGGUGAACAAGAAGAGAAAUGCUCGCGAAGAAUGGCUUCGAAUUCUUUUAAAGGACUAGAGAAAAGACGGUAGAUCUUCAGAAACAAAUAAGAUUUUCCUUUGUGAGCGUCAUUUGAAGCCAUUGUAAAUUUUGCAUUUUAUGCAUGCGCUUGUGUGAUCAGAUGUAAACAAAGAGGGCAUUGUAUUUGCAUAUUUACAUAUCCCAUGUC